UUAUUUAUAAAUGUAUUACUGCAUGGUUUAUUAUUUUAAUGUAACACUGAACUGCACUGUUUGGAUUAAUGUUAGUUAAUAGUUCCUCUAAUCAUCUUUAAACAAACCUCUGGUACUUUUACAGAAGAUUGUUUCACUUUUUACACUAACAUGUUAUAUCUGAACUGAGGGCUGGGCCACAUGGACAAAAUCUUAUAACAUCAUAUGAGUCAUUUUAUAGCUUUUAUAUAUGAAGCAUGAAAAAUUAAGUGUUCUCUAAAAUUUAUGUAAAAAUAUCUCUACAAAAUAACUGCAUGCAUUUAAGAACUAAAGACAUUUCUGAACUAAACACCAGUGAAAGACUUUUUCUUUUCUGUUUAUUCUGAAAGUGACAUUUAACAAAACUCUCACAGACGAGAAAAACAUCAGACUGACAAAAUGGGAUCAAUAUUUUGAUGGGGUUUUUUUUUCUUUGCUUAUCAAGUGUACAAGCAGGUAAAAAGAGAGAGGAUGAAUAAUGUGUCACAGUCGUGCUGAUGUGACGUCACUCUGUAAACAGGGAAGGAGCUCAGAUUUGAGAAGAAAACCCCACGUUCACUUCUCAGUUGUGGAGGCAUGAAAGACAUGAUCCCAUUUACUCUGUGGAGAAAGAAGGGUUCACUAAGUUGUGUUGAAAUAGUAACAGUGACAUCUGUAGUAAACAGUACAAUGUUCUUUCUAAUAUCCUUUAUUUACAUUGUUUAUGAUCGAUGAGAGAUUUUUACACAUCUAUAUUUUAUAAAAAAUACAAAUCAUCAAGAAUCGUUUAUAAGGUUAAAAACUGUAAUCUUUCUCUUUAGUUUGGAUGUGUUUGGACGUAUGUGAACACACCACCUGUACUCAGGUCCACACCAAACACCUGAACCAGUGUGUGUGUAAAAUCAGAGGUCUGGAGGUGACAGAUUUGUACCUGUUCGAGCACAGAGAACAACACACACCAACUGUCUUAGUGUCUCUGUGAAAUCCAACAUAUAACUGAGUGUAAAGUACGACUAGUAUUGUCAUGUUAUUAACUGGUAGUGUACAGCUGUAUAAUUCUUUAUUUUCUGUAAUAAAAUGCACUGUAUCUGCAGUGUUGGUUGUAGAAACUUGAACACAGAUCAGAGUGUAGUGUUUGUAGGCUGCUCGCUCUCACAUGUGUGUGUUAUGUACAUGACCUAAUGGUCUUAUAAUAAAUUGUAGCUGAGAGAUUGUGGAGUGCAGAAAGACGUCCCUGCUCCUGUAAAUGUGCUGA